ACCUUCAGAUGGUGCCACUCCCUGGUCCAAGGAUAUACAAACCAUCACACUCGGGUUGCAGGCAUUGGAGAGGAAUCUGUGAUUGGGCAGGGGAUCUGGAAGUGGAGAAUCCUAGGGAAGAAAGGAGUGGGGGUGGGGUUCCAAAUGAAAGUUACCUCUACCCUCUCCAUCUGUCCCCUUCUAACCUUGAGAGGAAAACCUGUUGAAUUCAUUGUCUUUCCCCUACCAACAGUAUGCCCUGCCUUUUCUCCACCCUCCCAUCCCACCUCCCCUAUCUUCAAUGCUGACUGGAUGUCCCUGUCACCCCAAGCCUCUUUGGGUCGCUUUUAGCAAGCCUGGAGGACUGUUUGACUUGUGUGGAUGAGAACACAAGUCACCCAGGCUGUGUGGUGGGUGAAAUACCAUCUGAUUCAGACGUUCCUUCGUGACUUCCUCCCCAUCUGACUACUGCCUCCAAACAUAGCAUAGUGGGGGUGGAUCCCAGCCUCUCUCCUGUUCCCUGGGAAUGCUGGGAUGGAGGCAUGGCUUUACCUGCAGGUAACACACACAGGGAGGUUGCUUGUUCCUCUUUAAUAAGGAAAAGUGAGCCUGGUUGCGGAGUGGGGAUGUCCUUGAAUGUCUCCAAACUGUGGGGCAUUUGCCCAGGAAGUAAGCAUGCCAAGGAAACAUUUCAAGACCUCAAUGGACAGCGGAACGACACGGGAAAAAGGAAUGAGCCAUAAAGGAGAGAACACAAAGGGCAAAGAAUGAAACAUUCAACACAUAGCAAGAGAAAUCCCAACUAUGACGAAACAAGAUACCGUGGCUGCUCUUUCAGUUGCUGGAGAGUUUAAGAACGACCCCAGAGAAGGACCUUGCCUCUGUGUAUUGAGUUCUGGAGAAUGUAUAUGAAAUGUACAGGUAUAAGAAACAUAAAUACUUAAGACCCUAACAGUAGACUCUCAUGUCUUGAGGAGUGCCAUUAGCUAACGUUGGGAAUACCUAGCUCUCUGGAAACAAAGCCCUACUAUCUUGACAAGAAACUGUGCCUCCUCGAAGCCAGUCCUAGUGUGAGAAAACCUUGCAAAUUCACCAUCUGAUUCUCAGUCAAAGCUUGUUUGUAUGUAUGCAGGCUCUUAAAAUCCAUGUACUCUGGGCCUUUAAAUCUUCUGAGAUAUGCACGCACAUAAUGACUAUUACACAGGAUGACUAUCAGGCAGCAACGAGGUAGCUUAAGGGAGCAAGGCUCAGCCCAGUUCGUGGCAGCACACACCUUUGAUCCCAGCACUUCGGAGGCAGAGGCAGGCAGUUGGAGUUCAGCCUGAUUUACAGAGCAAGUUCCAGGACAGCCGGGGCUACAUAGAGAAAGCCUGUCUUGAAGACACACACACACACACACACACACACACACACACACACACACACACGGGGGGGGGGAGAGAGAGAGAGAGAGAGCACAAAUAAUCACCAAUAUAUAUGGCAUCUGCUCAUGUCCUGUAAGGAGAGUUUGGCACUUCCCCAUUGGGUUAAGGUGCUAUGUGUACAGCUAUGGCCUCCUAGGGUGUACACACAGAAUGGUCUACUUGUGGGGAGGAAAACUCUGUGAGGGCUUUUGCUUUGUAUCUGCUAUCCUUGAUUUUAAAUUGCCACUGUUGAUACCAUUGUGAUAUACUGUUACUGUCUAUUGGGGGAGCAUAGUAAAAAAAAAUGCAUCAUUGGGAGGGAAAUGUUAUUAAAAACCUUGCAGCAUCUGAGCAUGGUGGGGCACACUUGUAAUCUCAACAUUCAAAAGCUAAGGCAGGAAGACUACGAUUUUACAGGCUGGGUCACACAGUAUGUCUUAAGCUAGCCUCGGGUACCAGUGAGACUGUGUCUCAAAAUGAAACAUCAAAAAGUCUGUAGAUGACGGAUCUCCAGAGUCAUGGUAUGGGGAAUAGUUGCCAAGUAAUCUGUAAGAUCUAGGGCUGCUUGGAUUAGACAAAGUGGCUUUGAUCGAGGACAAAAUGUUUGCUUUGACUGUGGACCUCAAGAUAACCUAGACUGGAGUCUGUCUGAGGGCAGUAGUAGUUCCUGGAGCAGGGCAGUGCCUAGCCUGCUGCUGUGGGCACACACACAUAGUAGAGUCAAGGUCAUUCAAACUUGAAGCUGAAGCCCCAGCGCCCACUCCAGCACUAGGAUUUGAAGAAGGAGAUGAACUGACUUCAGAGUUGUACUCAUUUCUAUAUGAGUGUGUCGCAUCAGCAUCUGGAACUGUCUUUACAUUGCACCGGGGGAGGAGUUUAUGUCUGUCUUGGAUACGUGGCACUGAACAAGAGAGUGGACCAGAGAGAAAGAAGACAAAGCGUUAAGGGGACAAAAGGCUCAGUGUGGGGAGAAGUGGACCGAAGCUUCACUGUGGACGCAGAACAAUCGAUCCCAAACGGAGCAGCACA